AUCGGGUCCUCCCUUAAAGAGGGCACGUGUUGCGGUGGGAUCGAGCAACCUUACCCUGUGUUGUGGGUGGGUACGUUUGGAUAGCCACAACACCCAAUUGGUAGGUCCCUUGAUGCAGGGUUCAAUCAGGCCAAUGGGACGCAGCCUAACGGAUCAAGGGACCUAUAUAUGCCUAUGCACAUGACCCAGAGCUUCCUCUUUCGGUACGUGCAUCGGAACACCUGCCCACAUCUCCCUAUAUUUAGGGCUGUGCACUUGUCCUUGCUAUGCCGUCGUGUGUUGUCUUUCAUUGGGACAGGGGUACGGCAGGAAUUUCCCCCACUUGGCUGAUGCUAUUUGGGUUUCGCCUGCUGUGUAGCAAAUCGUCACAACUUGUAAGGUUGCGGAUAGGCUCUGGUUCAGGUGAUAGGGAAGGGAGAACGCUCUCGCCAUCCCUAUGUGAAGGGUAUUCCGUUAAAGGGAUCCAGGGACUUGAUGGUUUGGUCAACCCUGUGAGGGGGUUGUGCCCUUGCCUGAGUACAGGGGGGCAUUUGGAUGGUGGAGAUAGCCUGCCCCCAGCUUUGCACUUAUCCAGGAGUUCAUCCAGGAGUUCACCCUGGAUCAGUGCUACCUGCAAUGGUGCAGGGAGCUGGUCAAACCAGAGCCUAUGCAACAAGUUACUUGCUGUAAUCAAUAAAGUUGUGGCCUAAAUUCUGCCAAAAACCAAACCAAAAUCUGAGUCUUGUCUGAAUUUAUUUAAGGGGGAGGUUUAAAGGUGUUAACACGCAAAUCAAAGUUUCAGCAUGUGAUCAGAAAAUGUUACCCGCCUGCAGUUUUUGUUUAGCUGUCAAUUCAGCACCAUGAUACUCUUCCUCAAACCAUUUUGCAUCAUUUUCAGGUGAUCUAGAAGUGUUCUAAGAGGUGGCCACCAGCACGGGUUUAACCUGAUUAACAAUUUGUUGGAAUAUCUCAGUAAGGUUUACAGGGCCAUUUAGGUGUUAAAAAACAAAACUAGUAGCUGAGUUAAUUCUGCUGCCUGAAGUUUGACCUGCACAUCCGCAACCAAUUUACCAUUCCAUCUUUUUCAUGCCUAUUAAUUCUGUUUUAUCCUGAAGGAAGGCAGAAAAAUCAAUCCAUUACUGUAUGGUAAAAACAACUUAAUAUUUACUAGCAUUAUUGCCUAGCUAUUACAUAGCUGGGGAAAGUGGUUUCUGUAAUUUCCAGGGGGAAAGCUUGCUAAAGUGAGAGGCAAAGGGGAGUGCUUGGUGUGUUUUAUUUAGGGGUGGGUUUGUAUAUUGUUUGCUUUGCAUGCCAGUAUAGGUCCAAGGUCUCUCGAUGUACAUGUGAGCAGGUUAUUGACUGAGAAUGUAAAAUUGAAUUAUGGCACUGGUUGAGUGUGCUACAAGAAUGGAGUUUGAGUAUAUUUAUUUAUAGUGUUUACAUGCUUGAUUGUUGUUAGUGCAUGGAUUAUGUAAAAGGGUGAGGAACUAGAACUGAGAAACGUAUUUUAGUUGUAAUUAGAUUAAAUUUUGUUUAUUGUUGAAUAGGGGGUUGGGAAUUUCAUUGGCUUGGCUUGUUUAAGUGUAUGAUUGAUGUAUGAUUCACUAUAUGGUGAAUAGGAAAGUGAGUUUAUUUAUCGGUAGCUUAGUUGUCAGUUUACACUAUCAUGCAAUUUAAAAUGGUGAUUUUUUUAUUGUGUUUUUGUUGUAGACUUUCAUUUGCAGUGUUUUAUUCUGAUAUUUUAGCAGAUAUUGUGGUGUGGAUCUUUUUUCCUUGUAUUUUUGUGGAUUUGAUCUUUGUUUAUGAGGUUUUGAGCUGUGUUGUACAGUGCUUGGGUCUUCAUAGCAGCCAGAACAUUUUAUAUGCUGCUGGAGAUGUAUUCGAAUUUCAUCUUUGCUCACAUAAACAAUAAAAUAGUGCCAAUCUGCCACAAAAUAAUAUUUGUUUCUUUCCUUUAGCCUGACAUAUAUUAUUUGUUAAUUCUUCCACCAAAGAGACUCACCAAAUUGUCUUACACCAAUUAGCUAAUGUGAUGCCAUUUAGAUCCUUCCAGUAUUGAGCAACAAUUAGCUGGGCAGCUGCAAGAAGCUAAACAAUUAUAGGUUUGAAAUGACAAUCCCCAUUGUUGUUUCAAAAAAUGUUCAAAGGAGAGCCAUUAUAAAACAAUAACUCUGCAGUUCGGAUCUGUUGAUUGGAAGACAAGUCUUGCCCUCAGUAUUCAGUCUCAGAUUUGCAAAUCUAGCAAAUCUGCCAGCUGAUCUAUUUUUGUCCCAUAUAUUAGCAGCUAGAAUAAGCCAUGUUUUGUGUACCAGACUAGGCAGAUUUUUACCCAGUGUCUGUAAUCCAUGUUUCCCGAAGGCACAUAGUAUCCACAGUAUUUAAUAAGACAACAAUCGCCACUUAUGAUUUCAGAAAACCAGCCAGCGUCAUGCCAAGAUGGCAUUGAUAAUUUACAUCUAUCAUGGAGUAAUUAGAGUUGCUGAGGGUUUGUUGUUGGUUUAUCAGAAUAAAGGACUAUGAGUCAUAAAAUGUUCUGAGGCUGUUAUUUUAUGGGUAAUUUUAUUCUGCCUGUUUAUAAACCAAGGAGAUGAUGAUGAUGAUAAUUUAUAUCCCGCCCAUCUGGCUGGGUUUCCCCAGCCACUCUGGGCAGCUUCCAACAGAAUAUUAAAAUACAAUAGUAAGUUAAAUAUUAUAAGUUUCCCUAAACAGGGCUGCCUUCAGAUGUCUUCUAAAAGUCUGGUAGUGGUUUUUUUUCUUUGACAUCUGGUGGGAGAGCAUUACACAAGGCGGGUGCCACUACUGAGAAGGCCCUCUGCCUGGUUCCCUGUAACUUGGCUUCUCGCAGCGAGGGAACCACCAGAAGGCCCUCGGUGCUGGACCUCAGUGUCCGGGCAGAACAAUGUGGGUGGAGACGCUCCUUCAGGUAUACUGGGCCAAGGCCAUUUAGGGCUUUCAAGGUCAGCACCAACACUUUGAAUUGUGCUUGGAAAUGUACUGGGAGGCAAUGUAGGCCUUUCAGGACUGGUGUUAUAUGGUCUCAGCGGCCACCCCCAGUCACCGGUCUAGCUGCUGCAUUCUGGAUUAGUUGUAGUUUCUGGGUCACCUUCAAAGGUAGCCCCACACAGAGUGCAUUGCAGUAGUCCAAGCAAGAGAUAACUAGAGCAUGCACCACUGGCAAGACAGUCCACGGGCAGGUAGGAUUGAGCAUAGAGGUGUUGGAAUCGGAUUAGGAUUUGACAUCUUCAGGCUAUUCUUUCUACUCUUUUGAUAUAUCCAUCUUUCCCCAUUAUCAUGAUCCUUAUUCCUAAAACUUGAGAGUAAAUAUAGAGGUCUGCCAGCUUUAAAUAAGAAGAGAUUUUACUAAUAAGAUAAAAAUCCAUUCUUGGGGGGGGGGGAAUUAUGUAUUUAUUUAAUUUAUAUAUUGCUUCAUAUUUCCAAGAAAAUUCCAAAGCAGUUCACAAAAUCCUAAAGAACAUGACAAAUGAAGCCCAGUACAAAUAAUACAGUAAAAAAUAAAUAAAUCCACGUAUCAACACAAGAUAACGAGAUAAGAUAUCCUCCUAAACAUCAAUGUAAACUGAAACAGAUAACAUAUGGGGGCCACAAGAAACUGCUACCAAAUCCAAAACACAGAAACUAGCAAAGGAAAAUUGAAAAGUAGGUAUUGUUCUUUCCAUAAAAUCUGUGAGUCGAGUCACUGGAGAAACUCCUCCUAGGAAGCAUCUAAAGGCUUCCUCCAAAGAAAAGCAGGGAAAAUAGGAUACCGGUAGCAGGCCGGCAGUGAGCAGGGGCUCCCAAACAACAAUGACAUGAAGAUAGAAGCGGGGGAGCCAAAGUACAAUGAAGUCAUCUUGACAGAGCCGGGUGCCCAAGGGCAGCUAAUUAGGCUGAUGCAUCCCUGCGCAGGGAGCAGCAAUUAAGACAUCAUCUGCGCCAGUUGCUGCCACAGACAGGCAAAGACUAGCCAGUAAUGAUGUAAACCUCCACUAUCCUCUUUUUACAGUAUUGUAGUCUGGGGACCUGAGUGCCUUGCUGGCUACAGCAAAAUCAGGACUGUGCCCUCUGAAGCAUACAGGUGAGAGCACUCCAUAGUAAUUCUGUGUUGGGAUUGAUUAACACCAUCCACUUUUCUUUUGUUUAUAAUAUUUAAAACAUAAUUGAGAAUGGGUCCUUUAACUGAAGUUACUGUUCAUCUGAAGAUAGUCCUUAAAUUGUGUAAGGCACAACAGGAUAAGAUUGAGAGGCACUAGCAGCCUGAACUCAGGAACAACUUGAGACAUUUUGCUGCCUGAAGCCCUCCGAUGACUAGGUGCGUAGUGUUAGCAAAUUCACUUAAAUAACACAGCCCAAAGAGAGAAAAUAAAUUCUCAUACUGAGGAAUCUGCACAAGAACAGUAUAUAAUUUGAGGAGAAAGGAAUAGAAAGUUUUGUAUUUCUCAGUUCAGGCCUGGUACAUAGCUGGGAUACAUUCAACAAAACAUACAGAGGAUAACUCCUGCAGAAGUAAACAGCCAAUCAGGGCAUGUGCUACCUCAGCAAACAUUAUGGCAGUUGGCCUGGUUGCCAAGCAACACCUGCACCCAUCCCUUAAUACCAACAUAAUUAAUCCUUCAGCUGCACACAAAAUGAUCUGUUCCACUUCCAACACAUGGUACCAAUGGCUGGCACCUGAGGCAGAAAAAUCUACAAAAGUGCUUUUUCCUGCCAAUUUAAUAUGUAGAAACGUGAUGAUGUUUAAUUACAGUCUUUAAGGAGUACCAAAACUGAGGGGUACCCUAUGGCACAUAGAGUGAAAUUCAGUGUCACACUAUAUGGCGAUUGUUUCGUCAGCACAGGCAUUACUACCCCUACACGUUGCUCUGGUGGGCUCUCUCAAUUCUCCAAAGCAGUUUUGGGGGAGGCACUGGGGAAAGCCCCAUUGCAGUAUCACAAGCCCUUGUGCUAACCAGGGGUCAGCAACCUUUUUCAGCUGUGGGCCAGUCCACCAUGUGGUGGACCAGACUAUAUUUUUUGGGGGGGGGAUGAACGAAUUCCUAUGCCCCACAAAUAACCCAGAGAUGCAUUUUAAAUAAAAGCACACAUUCUACUCAUGUAAAAACACAAGGCAGGCCCCACAAAUAACCCAGAGAUGCAUUUUAUAUAAAAGGACACAUUCUACUCAUGUAAAAACAUGCUGAUUCCCGGACCGUCCGUGGGCCAAAUUGAGAAGGCGAUUGGGCCGCAUCCGGCCCACGGGCCUUAGGUUGCCUACCCCUGUGCUAACCUAUAUUAGCAAACUAGGUUAGUUGAAUCCAGCCCAUGGUUUGGAAUAUAGCACUUGUUUUGUUCUUGUGAACUGUUCUUGGGUUGUAUUUUUCAUUGAUAGUUUAAGGCUACUUACAAUAAUAAGGGUUUUAUUUAUUUAUAUAUACACAACAAUACUUGUACACCACAAUGUCAUUAAAAACAACAACAAAGCAGUUUACAACCAUUUCAUAUACACACAAUAAAAACCACAUAAAGAUUUAAAAUUACAGACCAUCAGCAAACGAUUACAGAAAAUGUUUUUUUAAUUGUCUGCAUAAGCCUGGCGGUUUUGUAAUGAUAACAACAGGCAAUUGCACUCCUAUUACCUUCUCAUUUCAUUCAGCCUUUUUAGGACAGAAGGUAAAGAAAUAAUAAUAAAAAUCAUGAGUAAUUAAUUAAAGAGGAAAUUGCACUCCUACUCUCUUCUCACAUUAUUCAAUUAAACUAGAACAGUAAGUAAAGAAUUCUAGGGAACAGUUCCCAUGAAUAUGACCUUGUUUGAUGGAGUUCUUUGGAAAGUAGCAGUCUUUCCUGCUCCCAUCCCAUGAAAGCAAUUUAUGUGACCAAUAAAGACAAGAUAAUAGUAUAUCAACAUAAUUUCUUACCACCCAUGAAGUUUGGUUUUUAUACGUAGACUCCUCACAAUGUUCCAGUAGCUGAGACAUGAAAAUGCCAGCAAGUGAGAGAGGAGGCGAAGUCAGAUGAAGCCACUUUGAAACUGACUGCUCCUGGGAAAACACCAAAAAGCAUAAAGAGGAUCAUUUAUAGGCAUAUAUCUCUUAU